AAGAAGGCUCUUGCAAGAUACUGGCACCUUGAUAUUGGACUUCCAAGCCUCUAGAACUGUGCAGCCAACUCUGUCAGUAGAUGGCAGUCCUGACAGUGGUACCUGAGGGAGAGUACAGCAGGUGGGAACACCAGUUCAGAGCAAGUGGACCAAGCUGAAAUUAUGGAGAGAACUGUGACUUCUUCACGGUCAUUUUACCUACUUACUGUAGACUUGUACAGACCCCAAAUGUGAAAAAUCUUUAUCAUUCCUUUACUAGUUGAAAUUGUCCUAUCUUUCUUGAGACCAUGAACUAAAAAGAAGAUAUGGUGAUUUAAUUCUACAAGAAGCUGAGGGACAUGGAUGAAUCUGGAGAACGUCAUCCUCAGCAAACUGACACAAGAACAGAAAAUGAAACACCGCAUAUUCUCACUCAUAGAUGUGACUUGCUCCUCCUUGCCUUCCACCAUGAUUCUGAGGCCUCCCCAACCACGUGGCACUGUAAGUCCAUUAAACCUUUUUCUUCCCAGUUUUGGGUAUGUCUUUAUCAGCAGCAUGAAAACGGACUAAUAUAGCAGACAUGAAUACCUAUGGCUGACAUAUUUAUUUGUCAAAUGAAAGAAUAACAAACUUGGUUAUUUCAAUGUUAUAGAAAAAAAUACCAAACAGCCUCCCAAUAAAAUAUAAUAGAAUUUACA
rnacentral:lncRNA from 13 species